rnacentral:rRNA from 1 species
GAUGAACGCUAGCGAUAGGCUUAACACAUGCAAGUCGAGGGGCAGCAUGGUCUUAGCUUGCUAAGACUGAUGGCGACCGGCGCACGGGUGCGUAACGCGUAUGCAACUUGCCUCACAGAGGGGGAUAACCCGUCGAAAGACGGACUAAUACCGCGUACACUUGGGAUAGGGCAUCCUGACCCAAGGAAAUGAAAUUCGCUGUGAGAUAGGCAUGCGUCCCAUUAGCUAGUUGGUGAGGUAACGGCUCACCAAGGCGACGAUGGGUAGGGGAACUGAGAGGUUGAACCCCCACACUGGUACUGAGACACGGACCAGACUCCUACGGGAGGCAGCAGUGAGGAAUAGUGGUCAAUGGGCGAGAGCCUGAACCAGCCAAGUCGCGUGAAGGAUGACUGUCUUAUGGAUUGUAAACUUCUUUUAGACGGGAAUAACAAGAGCCACGUGUGGCUCCCUGCAUGUACCGUAUGAAUAAGCAUCGGCUAACUCCGUG